rnacentral:rRNA from 1 species
UACAGAGGGUGCAAGCGUUGUUCGGAAUUAUUGGGCGUAAAGCGCGUGUAGGCGGCUUGGCAAGUCAGAUGUGAAAGCCCUCGGCUUAACCGAGGAAGUGCGUCUGAAACUGCUGAGCUUGAGUCUCGGAGAGGAUGGCGGAAUUCCCGAGAGAGAGGUGAAAUUCGUAGAUAUGGGCGAGGAACACCGGUGGCGAAGGCGGCCACUGA